AAAGGUAAGCUACUAAGAGCGAAUGGUGGAUGCCUUGACUGGUAAAGGCGAUGAAGGACGUACUAGACUGCGAUAAGCUACGGGGAGCUGUCAAGAAGCUUUGAUCCGUAGAUUUCCGAAUGGGGCAACCCAAUGUAUAGAGAUAUACAUUACCUAUAUAGGAGCGAACGAGGGGAAUUGAAACAUCUUAGUACCCUCAGGAAAAGAAAUCAAUAGAGAUUGCGUCAGUAGCGGCGAGCGAAAGCGUAAGAGGGCAAACCCAGUGCUUGCACUGGGGGUUGUAGGACUGCAAUGUGCAAGAGGUGAGUUUAGCAGAACAUUCUGGAAAGUAUAGCCAUAGAGGGUGAUAGUCCCGUAUGCGAAAAACAAACCUUAGCUAGCAGUAUCCUGAGUAGGGCGGGACACGAGAAAUCCUGUCUGAAGCUGGGUCGACCACGAUCCAACCCUAAAUACUAAUACCAGAUCGAUAGUGCACAAGUACCGUGAGGGAAAGGUGAAAAGAACUGAGGUGAUCAG
rnacentral:rRNA from 1 species